GAUUUUGGAUCUGCAGUUGCUCUGUCAUAUUCGGAACAAAUACUAGAUGGGAGUUUAUGGGGUUCGGAACAAAUUUUUUUACUAAUUUAAUGUUAUGUAAUUGAAUAUACUUAUAAAACUAUUUUACAUUACAUAUUGAAUUCAUCUUAUUUUGCCUAAUAGAUUAAUUAGCAUUAUAUAUAUUAUGAAGAAUGAUUUUAUUAAUAUAGUGUUUCUUUUCCUUAUUUAUUUAUUAGAACGGAGAGAGAGCAAGAGAUUAGGAGGGUGUAAAUUAAUCUUUAUUUAAGAGCUUCAGCAGUGAAUGGUACAACAGUUUUUUGACAUAGUUUCUCACAUACUUUUACCUCUUCUCUAUCUGUCUAUUUACGGCGGCCAUCAACAGGUAUCCAUCAACCAACCCCACUUAUUUAUCUUAAACUCCUUCUAGCCGUUGCGAAGGCCUUAAGGCAAGUAGCUGAAGGAAAAGCUUCUGCUCAAGCUGAGGCCGCUGAAUGGAAAUGAAAAUUUGAGUUGGAGAGGGUGUGGAAUCUGCAGUUUGAUUCUACAGGCCUGGUGUGUGGGGAAAUGAAGGUGGUCAAGUGUAGCAAAAUUAUUUCCUCAUCAAACUAUUCAUUUCAUAUGGUUAAUGGAAUUAUUCAAGAUUGGAUAAAGAGAAAGCUUAUAUAAAUAUCAUAUGAAACAACUAGCUCAAGUUCUUGGAAGUGAGGAAGAGGUUAAGAAGAAGAUAUACUCUGUUUCCACUACUUGGCACCCUGAUUUCCGAAGAGCUUUCUUACAAAGUUAAAGGUAGGUUUAACCGCUACAUUUUUUCUGAUUCAUCUUCCCAUCAGUUCUUGCUUUUCAUUAAUGUCGAUGCUUAUUAGAUUUGUUUUCAUUGCUUGCAUGUGUUAAAUUCUGAUUUGCAAAGCAUUUUUGAUAUCACAAUUGCUUUGUAUUUAAAAGAUUCCUCAACACUCUUAUUUCUUGAUGAACCAACAAGUGAACUUGACACUGCUGCCUCUUACUAUGUCAUGAAAAGAAUUAAAUCCCUUGAUCAUAAAGAUACCAUUUAAAGGACAGUUAUUGCAUCAAUCCAUCAGCUUAGUGCUGAAGUUUUUCAAUUCUUUGAUAAUCUCUAUUUGCUCUCUGCUGGCAAAACAGUUUACUUUGGACCUUCUUCUGCUGCAAUUCAGGUUAAUAUACAACUAAGAACCAACUAACUAACUAGUUCAUAUUUUCAAUGCCUAUCAUUUCUAUAAUACUAUCAUAAGAACAUCAUCUUGUAUGUAGUUUUUCACUUCCAAUGGUUUUUCUUGUCCUGCUCUUCAAAACCCCUCAGAUCAUAUGCUAAAAACUAUAAACAAGGACUUCGAUCAGGAAAAUGAGAUGCCUCCUGAUGAUGGUGGGAAUGGAAUCAUACCAACGGAAGAAGUAAUCCAGAUUCUUGUAAACUCAUAUAACUCAUCUGAGAUGAACCAACAAGUUCAAGCUGAAGUAGCAAUGCUUUCUGAAAC